rnacentral:lncRNA from 1 species
AGAACCUCUAUGCAUAUCUGCAUUCAGAUGAUCAAGCUGUAGAAUGGCUAGCCGAAAAACACAAUGUUGAAAGCUCUGGGUUGCAGAAAGUCAGAGGCACACAUCAGCUUCAAAGAGAAGGCUGUCAAUGGAGACGGAAAGAGGGGAACGAGGGGGUAGCCUUCCCUCUGCCACACAGAAAUGGCUCCAAGGCUGUGAUGCAAGGUGGUCCCAGCUCUGUGAAAAGGCACUUUCACCUUUAAAGCACUUUGCUGAGAGGGAAAAUCAAAGCUGAUAUCCUCCUUGAAUAAAGCACUCGGGUCUACUGGGGAGUCCAAAAAUAAAAGCAUGGUGCUAAAUAUUUCUCUACCUGUAGCUACUGCUCACCCUUAAGAGGAGGGGCAAGGUGGAGCUGUUAGGGGAGCAGGUAGAGGAAGAGGCAGGUGGGGGACCGUGGUUGAAGCACUAGAAAAGGGCAGCCGGGAAGACUCGCAAAUAGGAGUGGGGGAAGGGGCAGGCUUCUAGAGGAAGUGGUUUUUGUUGAGGCUGGCUGAGAGCAACAACAAGGCUGGGAACACCGAGGAUGCCGUGGGAAGUGAAAAAAAAGUCCUCCUCCUGGCCCAGUAAGAAGAGAACGGAAGGCUCCUUGCAGUUUGGCUUCUCCCAGAGUGUCUCUCCCUUAGCAGCAGCAUCUAGUUCACUCUCUGAAUCAGGACACUGUGCAGUUUUAAUCGAGAUGGAACAUUCCAAGGCCAAGAAAAUGUCAUGCGUUCACUGGUGAGUAAGCUGGACACGACGGGAAUGACAGUUACAGGACACAGCCAUUUGCCAAAAAUGUGACCUAUGGGACUUAAGAACCAUGUCACGCUGCUCUGCUUGACGGUUUCUAUUGGAUGACCUGAAAUCAGAAACUUGGUUUUCUGUUGAAGAGAAAAUUGUCCAGAGUACACUGGGCUAUGCAUGGGAGUGAGGGACACGUGCAAGUGUGCACAUCCACGUGUUUACAGCCAUGGGGAAGGGAGG